GACGAACGCUGGCGGCGUGCUUAACACAUGCAAGUCGAACGGAAAGGCCCUGCUUUUGUGGGGUGCUCGAGUGGCGAACGGGUGAGUAACACGUGAGUAACCUGCCCUUGACUUUGGGAUAACUUCAGGAAACUGGGGCUAAUACCGGAUAGGAGCUCCUGCUGCAUGGUGGGGGUUGGAAAGUUUCGGCGGUUGGGGAUGGACUCGCGGCUUAUCAGCUUGUUGGUGGGGUAGUGGCUUACCAAGGCUUUGACGGGUAGCCGGCCUGAGAGGGUGACCGGCCACAUUGGGACUGAGAUACGGCACAGACUGCUACGGGAGGCAGCAGUGGGGAAGAUUGCACAAUGGGCGGAAGCCUGAUGCAGCAACGCCGCGUGCGGGAUGACGGCCUUCGGGUUGUAAACCGCUUUCGCCUGUGACGAAGCGUGAGUGACGGUAAUGGGUAAAGAAGCACCGGCUAACUACGUG
rnacentral:rRNA from 1 species